GAUGUAGCAUCGUUGCUACAAAACAUAGAAAGAACUGAAAGUCAGAAAGUCCACGAAAUUCUGAAAAAAGCAUCAAAGAAAUGAAGUUGCUCGCAAAUUUAGAACACCACAUCAAAUGCCAUUAAGGCACUACUGUUUCAGAUUUUCACUCUGAAAGAUAUAGCGACUGGAGGGUCGAAAUUGAAAAAAGGUGAUUCUGAUAGAUAAAUAACAUUUUCAGAAAGACAAUAACUAGUUCCUAGAACUUUGACCGUUCAUCAAUGGCAAAAACGAACAUAAGAUGGUAACAUUGAGAACACAGAUUUUUUGAUCCUAGCAAGGUUAGCCGAACUAGUACCGGAAACCAUACCAGUCAGCUACCGGUUCUAUACCAUACCAACACACGGUACGCUGUGGCAUGCCAAUUCCGAACCGACAAACCAUUUUUUUUUUUAAUUUCUUUUAAGCUUUAAUGAAAAGUAAUCAAACUUCUUUUUAGUUUUUCAAAUGAUUUGAAGUCUAAUUUGAUAUUUCUCAAUGUUUUUUGAUGUUUCUUAAUGUUUUUUGAUGUUUCUAUCACCUCGAUACACCUUAUAUAAUGCUUAUUGAUGUUUUGAAGUGAAUUUUCUACUUUUCCAUGGCAUUGCUCUAAAACAGUGCUAUCUUGGAAAGGCAAAAAUCUAGAAAACUUGUCAUUGGGUUUGCCACCCCUAACUUUUUGCAUUAGCGUCAGGCCAAAACCAAAAUGCAAAGAAAAAAGCCAGCAAUCCUAGCAUUGCAUGCUAGGAGAAGCAACAUGAAAUAUCCCAAAAUCAAUUAGUGAGAUACAAAAUAUAAAAUAAUACAAUUAAUUAUAUGUAUUUAAAGCACAAUAUAUAUAUACCAAUAUUUAGAAUUUCGUCAAGUUGCAAUGUCUCUUAUAAAUAUUCAGAUCGUUAGCAUAAUCAGAAGACACAUCAGUCCACCCUUCUAGCGAAGCUGCGUUGUAAUCUUGUAUGAUCAUCCAACAAAGUACGCACUCUGGAUCUGGAUUGUAACUAAUCUCGAAUCUCUCAUUGAACCUCUAGCUCUGAAAGUCCUCUAGUUAAUAAUAUAGUUGUAUAGAAGCUCAUCCGAAUAUGCCGGCAGCAAAAUCUGACCUGUAAGAUACUCUGGAUUGCAUUGGGUAGUAGCUACUAAAAGACGAUGCCUUAAAUAUACCAUAUCCAUAUUCGUAUAGGUCAUACACUGUCUAUGGCUGUAGGUAAUAGAAUCUAACAUACAACUCGAAACCUGAUAUAUCUAUGAAUCCUACUCCACAUACAAGAUCUACAGCUGCAUCGUGUCCUAAACGACCUCGAAAAGCCCAUCUCUUAUAUGCAAUCAUAUCCUCGCAAGCAGAGCAUACACUAUGAUCCCUAUACUAUGGCAUACGUAAACUAGAACUCGCUGGUGAAUCAAAAACCAUCCUGCGGCAAUCUCAUAAACGAUAGUCUUAGGUCCUUCACUCCCUUCGUGGCCACCAAAUUCAUGAUCACCAAACUGCCUUCGCUGCUCUUUCUGAUCUUUAAAUCUAAAUGAACUAACUGCACUCUCUCUAUCGAAACUAUAACUAUCUUUCCACUUCCUUUCAAGCUGUAGUGAGCAGCUACUUGCUUUCCCUUCGUGCCCUCCUGACUAAGUCGACCGGGUAGCGUGGUAGUCUCGUCUCAACAACUCUCUGUCAUAUCUCUACAAAGGUGUCUCAGAUAUGGAGUUAUGCUAUGAUCGGCUCCCCAGUGAUCCCUAUAGCUAUGGUUGAUCAACUAGAAGCAUAUGUGGAAUAUUGCAAUCUGCCUAUUACUCUACAUCCACCCUAUCCUCGCUAGCUAUGAACUGGCUGAUCAUGGAGGCAAUCCUAGCUCAUCAAGCUCUGGCCUCUGCUGCUGGUCCACAAACCAUCCAAUGAUGGGAUCAUUCUCAUCCUGAACAAAAGCAUUGUCAAUCGAAUCCGUAUACUUCCUCAGAUUGCAGUGAACAGAUACAAGGUCGUUAAGAUAUUUCCAUGUCAGACAGUUACUCUUCAUGCUGUGAAUGAGAGAAAGGGUGGACCAGUUGCAUUAACAGCCACAAGAGAAGACUCUCUGGAAGAGGAUAUGAAUAGCUAGCCACUUAAGAUGUCUCGCCGACAAGCCAAAAUGAAUCCAUCAUUCAGCUAUAAAAUUAUUGAAAAAAAUUACAUAUAAGCUAGUAUCAUAUUAGUAACUAACAUCAACUAAUACUUAUUGUUGAUAUCUAAUAUACUUCUUAUUUACAAUAAUUAUGGAGACUCCAAAGCUAUUAGUGCCCUCCCUAAAUAUUUUUAUUUGUGAAAAAGAUGUGCUAUAACAUGUUAAUGAUUCAAGAUACAAGUUAACUUACGCAUACCACUUAACUUACCUUUCGUAAACACAGAACUGCAACUUCUGGAUCAAGCUCCAUCUUGUAGAUUAUAUUACACAGAACGGUUAAAAGUUCAUCCAUAUCAAUCCCAGGUAUGGUGUACUAGAACCUCAGGUUCAGCUAGUAAGCUACAGAUCAAAUUUAUAAUUAUUUUAGUAAAAUUGUAUAGGACAGAAGUAGUCCAAUUUUCAAUAUUCUUGCUUACCUAUUAGAUGCAAAUCCCUAUCUGUCUGAAAGUCCCACUACUGCUCAAUAAUAUUGAUGUACUCCUAAGCAUGCUUCGGAUUUGUCUUCCAAAUCUGAUUCUUUGCUCUCUCCAUUAUAUGAUAUAAAAAGCCCAUCUGGGGGUACCUGCCGCUAUCAACGACUUGAAGCACUUUGUACAAUAGCUUGAUAGCCUUCACUAUCUUCUCGGACUGUUGCCAAAAUGUAUGUCUCAUCACCAAGUUCUCCACAUGGCUCUCCUCAAUGUCAGCCCAUACAAAUUUGCUUUCCUGCACUCAGCACUAACAAAUAUCUGACGCAGGCAGGGUCUGCUGAACCGACCUGUACCGGUCCGUUCAGCCCGUACCAGACCGGUACCGACUGGCACCGGUCCGGUACAGGGGUAUAAAACGGUUUCGACCCAAUAUGGGUCGGAACCGUUUGGUUUGAGCUUCAUACCUGUGCGAACCGGCUGGUUCGCACCGGUUCGCUGCUUAAAUUUAGUGCCACAGCGCUGGCCAGAGGCACUUUCAAAGUGCCACAGUGGGGCACUUUCAAAGAAAGUGCACUUUGUGCGGCACUUCGAAAGUGCCGGUGUAGCAUUUCGAAAGUGUCGCGCUGUGGCACUUUUCAAAGUGCCACAGUGCCUCAACGGUUGGCUAUAAAAGCCGACCGAAUGCUAAAGCCAAAUCCGUCAGCUUAGGUGAAGGAAAGACAGAGAGAAAGGAGCAAAAGAAGAGAAAGGCAAAGAAAAAGGCGUGAAAAAAAAAUUAGAAGGAUCGGAGAGCGUCGUUUUUCUUGAAGAAAAAUCCAGCAAAAACUAAAUAAGGUAAAAUUUCUUUUCCCUACAUUGUUUUUUUAAUAUUUCAUUUAAAUUGCUUAAAAACAUUAAGUCAAAAAUUGCCAAAAAAUAGGAAAUGAUUCAAUAAUUCCAUUUCGUCUUGAAUUUUUUAUAUGUUGUCGAUAUAUGGACGAUAUUAAUGGUGACAUUAACUUUUGUUUUCACAGAAUUUAUAUAAUUUAUAAUUUAAUUAAAAAAUUUAAAAAUUAAUUUUUAAUUACAAAAAAAUAGAAAUUGAAAAAAAUUAAUGUGGUUGUAGGAAUGGAGCCAUCAAGGAGAGGGCACCCCAAGAGCGUAAUAUUGGCUGGGAGCAUGGGAAGAUGCUCGGUAAACGGCACCAGUUUCAGUGCAAUUAUUGCCACAAGUGCUUCAAAGAAUGAGUAACCAGAUUAAAGCAGCACUUAGCCGGUAAUUCUCGUGAGAUAUCUGCAUGCUCGGAGUGCCCACCGAGCAUCCGUCAGCUGAUGAGAAAAAACCUCACUGAGAUCAAAGCAGCCAAGAAGAGGGCUGCCAAGCAGAAAGCGGAGAUGGAACGCCAAGCUGCAGAAGCACCUUCCUAUCACUUGAUGGAGUCACAGGAGGUCGAGGGUCCAGAUGAGGAGGCACAGAUCCAGGCUGCCAUGCGGGCGAGUCUGGAUAAUCGGUGGCAGCAGGAGGAGGUGGCGAGGCAUCGGGCUCGAUUUGAACCCUCGUUUUUCGAGUCGGGCGUCGGUUCUAGUGAAAGCAAACAAGAUCCAGAGUUUCAAAGGACAACCUCAAUCAGGGAUGGCGAGGGCAGAGGACAUAGCCAAAUUGCAUCUAUCCUGGAUGGUUUUGGUGGCCGAAAGAAGUCUUCCGGAGGGAUUCCACCAGGUGCGUCAAUUCAUGAUGUAGAUCCGCAUUCCUUCCCCAGGAGAGAUUCGAAGCAGCAAAAGGUAGACACAAUGUGGAAGAAGGAGAAGAAGAAGGAUAUGUGGCGAGCUAUUGGAUCCUGGUUCCACUUCAGCCACAUUCCAGCAAAUGCUGCAGACAAUACAUACUACAAGUCUGCCAUUUCUGCCAUACAGUUUGCCGGUCCCAGUGUCGAUCCUUCAGGCCCGAGGAACAUCUACAGUGAGCUUCUUGACAACAAUAAGGAGGAGCUAGAGAAUUGGAUUGGCUCAUAUAAGAGCAAGUGGCCCACAUAUGGGCUCACUCUGAUGUGUGAUAGUUGGACCGGUCCGACAAAGCGGACCAUCAUCAACUUUCUGACAUACUGUGAUACGAAGACCUUCUUUCACAAAUCAGUUGAUGCUUCGGAUAAGGUGCACAACGCCUCGUACAUCCUCAGACUUAUGGAGGAGGUGAUUGAUCAGAUUGGAGAGGAGAAUAUCGUGCAGGUCGUCACUGAUAAUGGGCCACAAUAUAAGUUGGCCGGGCAGGUCUUGAUGGAGUGGCGACCACAAAUUUUCUGGACCCCAUGUGCUGCACAUUGCAUCGACCUCAUCUUGAUGGAUAUUGGAAAGAUCCGUAGGGUGCAACAUACGGUGAAGAUAGCCCAACGCAUCACCAGGUAUAUUUAUAGCCAUACUUGGGUUCUUUCUUUAAUGAGAGUAUACAGGGGAAGAAAUUCUUAGACCAGGAGUCACACGGUUUGCUACAAAUUACAUUGCACUUGAUAGCCUUAUCGAGAAGAAAGAAGCCCUACGUCAGAUAUUUGUUAGUCCCGAGUGGCAGGAAAGUAGAUAUGCCCAGACCGGCACUGAAGGAAGCAGGAUGGAAGACUUGGUAAGCAGGCAGUCAUUCUGGCAGCGGGCCAAUGCGAUAGUCAAGGCUAUCAAACCAUUAUAUGAAGUGCUGCGGGCCAUGGAUAGCGAGAGGGACCCCCAGAUGGGCGUAUUGUAUCACAUGAUGGAGAAGGCAAAGGCUCAGAUCAUGGAGGCAGAUGUAGCCCAUGCCCAGGAGUACAUCGACAUCAUUGAGCGGCGGUGGGGAGCCCAAAUGGGUAGGAAAUUGCAUCUAGCAGCAUACUAUCUGAAUCCCCGGUUUCAGCACGAGAAUGGAAUUGGUAUGGAUGAUGAACUUUUUCAUGCUCUGCGUAAUGUUAUUUAUAAGAUGGAGCCUGAUCCAGAAGUCGUCGCGUCAUGUAUAGAAGAGAUAACUACAACAAGCUUCUUUCCACAGACCAAAUUAUUUAGAGAGGGCAGCCACAGCUUUGGACAGCGACUAGCUGUCGUGAGCAAGACAACUAUGAAUCCAGGUACAAUACAAAUCUGCAAGACACCUCUGCAUCUGAAUUAUCUUCAACUAUGAGGCCAUCAUAUAUGUAAAAUGUAAUUAUCUUCAAUAUUUUUGCAGCUGAAUGGUGGAUUCAUUUU